UAACAUUUAGUUUAAAAAAAGAAAAACAAAGAUCUGUGGAGUCUUAAAUAUUAAUAAUAAUGUUAU
rnacentral:tRNA from 1 species